rnacentral:rRNA from 1 species
CAGGAUUAGAUACCCUGGUAGUCCACGCCGUAAACGGUGGGCGCUAGUUGUGCGAACCUUCCACGGUUUGUGCGACGCAGCUAACGCAUUAAGCGCCCCGCCUGGGGAGUACGAUCGCAAGAUUAAAACUCAAAGGAAUUGACGGGGCCCCGCACAAGCAGCGGAGCAUGCGGCUUAAUUCGACGCAACGCGAAGAACCUUACCAAGGCUUGACAUAUACAGGAAUAUGGCAGAGAUGUCAUAGCCGCAAGGUCUGUAUACAGGUGGUGCAUGGUUGUCGUCAGCUCGUGUCGUGAGAUGUUGGGUUAAGUCCCGCAACGAGCGCAACCCUCGUUCUGUGUUGCCAGCAUUUAGUUGGGGACUCACAGGAGACUGCCGGGGUUAACUCGGAGGAAGGUGGGGAUGACGUCAAAUCAUCAUGCCCCUUAUGUCUUGGGCUGCACGCAUGCUACAAUGGCUGGUACAAACGGCUGCGAUACCGCAAGGUGGAGCGAAUCCGAUAAAGCCAGUCUCAGUUCGGAUUGGGGUCUGCAACUCGACCCCAUGAAGUCGGAGUUGCUAGUAAUCGUAGAUCAGCAACGCUACGGUGAAUACGUUCCCGGGGCUUGUACACGCCGCCCGUCACAUCACGAAAGUCGGUAACACCACAAAGUCAGUGGCCCAACCGCAAGGAGG